rnacentral:tRNA from 1 species
UGUCCGAUAGCUCAGCGGUAGAGCACCGCCCUCAUAAGGCGGCGUGCGGUGGUUCGAAUCCACCUCGGACAACCA